UUUUUGGGGAUAGAGGGACUUGAACCCUCACGAUUUUUAAAGUCGACGG
rnacentral:tRNA from 2 species